rnacentral:rRNA from 1 species
UACAGAGGGGGCAAGCGUUGUUCGGAAUUACUGGGCGUAAAGGGCGCGUAGGCGGCCUGCUAAGUCGGAACGUGAAAUCCCUGGGCUUAACCCAGGAACUGCGUCCGAUACUGGCAGGCUUGAAUCCGGGAGAGGGAUGCGGAAUUCCAGGUGUAGCGGUGAAUGACGUAGAUAUCUGGAGGAACACCGGUGGCGAAGGCGGCAUCCUGGACCGGCAUUGACGCUGAGGAGCGAAAGCCAGGGGAGCAAAGCGGG